AUUGAACGCUGGCGGCAGGCCUAACACAUGCAAGUCGAGCGGAUGAAGGGAGCUUGCUCCUGGAUUCAGCGGCGGACGGGUGAGUAAUGCCUAGGAAUCUGCCUGGUAGUGGGGGAUAACGUCCGGAAACGGGCGCUAAUACCGCAUACGUCCUGAGGGAGAAAGUGGGGGAUCUUCGGACCUCACGCUAUCAGAUGAGCCUGGUCGGAUUAGCUAGUUGGUGGGGUAAAGGCCUACCAAGGCGACGAUCCGUAACUGGUCUGAGAGGAUGAUCAGUCACACUGGAACUGAGACACGGUCCAGACUCCUACGGGAGGCAGCAGUGGGGAAUAUUGGACAAUGGGCGAAAGCCUGAUCCAGCCAUGCCGCGUGUGUGAAGAAGGUCUUCGGAUUGUAAAGCACUUUAAGUUGGGAGGAAGGGCAGUAAGUUAAUACCUUGCUGUUUUGACGUUACCAACAGAAUAAGCACCGGCUAACUUCGUG
rnacentral:rRNA from 1 species